UACGGGGGGUGCAAGCGUUGUUCGGAAUCAUUGGGCGUAAAGAGCGUGUAGGCGGCAUGAUAAGUCAGAUGUGAAAGCCCCGGGCUUAACCCGGGAAGUGCAUUUGAAACUGUUGUGCUUGAGUAAGGGAGAGGAAAGCGGAAUUCCUGGUGUAGAGGUGAAAUUCGUAGAUAUCAGGAGGAACACCGGUGGCGAAGGCGGCUUUCUGGCCCUAUACUGACGCUGAGACGCGAGAGCGUGGGGAG
rnacentral:rRNA from 1 species